GAACCCACUCCACCUGAUGCCCCCACAGCCCUCACAGGGCCUGACCUCCCAGCAUGCACCUGCCUCUCCCUGCAACCAAGCUGUCCACGUUGCCUGUUCCCUCACUUCCUCCAUCCUGUCCAGCAGGAUGGGAUGGGCAGGAGGACAGCCUGUGUGCACAUUUCAUGGCAGGUAGGAGUGACACACCAUCCCUGGGAGGCGACUUGGUUCCUCCCAAACCCGGCCCCAGAACUCUGUCCCUGGGGUGGUUUUACCAAACCCGAAACCCAGAAAUGUGGUUGUGGCUCAGGGGUCAGCACCCACUAGUGCCCGGACACUACUGGGAGGCUGGGACCUGACCAAAGCCCGUGGUGUCUGUGGCCUGAGGACAGGGUGUCUUGGGGCCAUAAGGACAGGCCACAAGUUGCCAUUGGGUCAUAGGGGCUCAGCCCCAGUGUUUGUCCUUCCCUGGCUCCUUCCCAUCAGUGCCUUGGAGCCCAAGACCAAGCAUCCAAGGUUCCCUCCAGGAAUCCUGGUGGCUCAGCUUACUUUGUCAUGUUUCAUCUGAGAGCAAAAAUGUCAGAUCGGAUGCACAGAAAAAUGGCUCAACAUGCUUAAUGACUAGAAGAAAUCUAGGAGCAGCAAGAAGGUAAUGUGGAGAGGGGAGGACCUCCAUGGGACCUCCAUGACCGGUGUCUGCAGAGCCAGGGGUACAGGCACCCAGUGCUGUGGUCUGGCACCACCUCUCAGAGGGUGGGUAGCACACUGUCCUUACCUCGGGGACAGCAGGUCUGGUCACCAGCUUUUGUACCUGUCUCUGCAAGCAUUGCAUUGCUGGAAGAGAAUCUCAUGCCAGAGCUUGGACCAUGCCUUGCUCAGGGGUUAGGGGUUGUCUCUUGGUGACCUAAUGAAAAAAUAGCUCCAGAUCAUAGUUCCCACAGAGCCCAAGGCUGGAAACCUCCAGAAUCCUCCGGCCCCCGAUCCUCCCCAGGGACCCCUGUGGCCUAUCUCACCAGAGCAUUCUUCCAUCUGUAGAUUUCUUGGCUGCUCCACAAGGGAGUCCCACUUCAGGUGUGGUGCUGGGCAUGAUCACUCCUGCUGGAUGUUUAGAAGGUGGAAACCAAGGACCUAGGGAAAUACCAGUUACAGCCUUUCCACCCUCAUCCAGAGCAGGACAAAGAGGCCAGGCGGUGUCAGGAGCCCAGGUCUCCAGCUGGAGGGAACAUCAACCCUGCAGUGGGAGCAGGGGCCCAUUGCACAUCCUAGGCAGAGAUGGUAACGUAGGCACCACAGGUAGGCAGGGAUUGGUACCCCUCCCUGGCGUCAGAAAGAAGCCAAACAAGGAGCUUUCUGCAGAAUGAAACCUCCUUUCCUUUCAGAAGCACUGCUGACAGUUUGGUGGUUGCCAUUGGGACAGUGAGCCUUUUGUUCUUUCUGAGGUUGGGCUGGUUUCUCCUCUUGGCCCUGCCCUACAGACCGUAAAGGAAAUCAGCAAGAAGUCCCCAGCAAACAUCCACAGAUGGCCCUGGACAUCAGCCACAUUCUGAGAAACAUGUCACGUUCUGGGAGGGCUAAGGCAUCAAGUAAGGCCUAUGGGGCUGGAGAAUCCGAGGGCAGGUGGGGCAACCCAGAGCCAUGGGGGCUACCCAUGGGAAUUGGGAGGUCCCAAGGCAGAUGCAGGGGUUCCACAGGAGAAGUCCCAGAGCCACCAAGUGCUCUCCUGUCCCAGGGAGCAGUCAACACCAUGGACUGAACACUUACUGGGCUUCAAGCUCUGGGCCAGGCUGGGGCAUGUGGGGCCAUGAGGGAGCUCAGAGUGGGAGACAGAGAGACAAGUGUGCUCAGAGGGCACCCAUUUCUGGGUGUAAUGUGGUCCUGAGAUUUUGGCUGAGAAGGGUUUCCAGGGUUUCAUAUGUGUUAUGGAGCUGCUUCCUCUCCCCAGCCUCACCUUGCAGGAAUCCCAGUGAAUAUAUUGCCACCCUAUUUGAGCUCAGUGCCCUCAUAGUGUAAUGGCACCAGCAGAUCUGCCUGUGCAUGGACUUCCUGUACUACCCAUUCCUGAGGGGUGAUGCUUCUGCAGGGCCUAUGACCUGGUGCACAACUUUAGACACCAUCAUCCUGGAGCAGCACUGCACCCUCACUAGCCAGGGUGUUCAUGACUUCCUCAAGGCCAAGGCCACGUUCAAGACUUGGGACUUCAGUGAUGCACUUGUGCUGGGCAAGGUGGCUUCUCCGGUAUCUUAAUUUGCCAUGGAAGGUGCUGGAUAAAGGAGGGACAGUCAGAUAUGUCUUAGAGAUGACUGUAGAAGGCUGCCUGGAAGGAGUGAACAAGAGCCAGGAGACCCAGGAGGGAGCUUGUGGGGCAGGUCUGGAGAUGGCAAGGGAGGGAUCCUGCUUGGAUGAAAAGUCUUCAGGGACUGUCUCAGGUUACACUCAGGUGCCCUCAGAGCUAAUGUGUUCAGAGGUCUUGUCUCCAGGAUGAAAAUGGGAAGGAGUUGUCAGAAGAGGACAUAUAAAUGGAGGCUGGCAUCUUCAUGAGUACCAGCGGUGGUCCCGGUGUGGGUCUCUCCAUCCAGGGACAUGGUGGAUGGACACUACAUCACUCCAUUCUGCCCUUCCUUUCCCUCCUCCCAUUCUCCCAAGGGCCUCAGUGCAUGGGCGGUGUCCAACCUCUGGUGCUGAAUCAGCCAAGAGAUCCAAGCCUGCUUGGCUGCCUCUUAGGAUAUGAAAGCACAGCCACUGGGCUCUACUGAAUCCUAUGCAACCUCAGAAGACACCCAGGAGUGAUGCCAUCACGUGGUGCAAGAGUUCUGAGGGACCGCAAUCCUGAAGACAUUGAAUGGCUGUGUUCCUGCUCAUUGCUGGAGGCACUGUCAGGGGCCCUGUCCUCAACCCCGGGUCUGACACUUGCAGAUCAGGCAGGACAUUCUGGAGGAAUCAUGCCCUUGGAAGGAUCCCUGAGGAGUGACUGUUGUUAGAUUAAAAAACAGUGGCAAAGAGCAAUACAGAGAGUUGCCAAAAUUCACACCGCUGGUCCAGGUUUGAAGCAAGCAAUCUGUACCUGCAGUCCUUGUCUGUAACCAUGGCACCCUGGCUUCUCACACAUCUCAUCGUGGAGUUCCACCAUGUGUCAGGCAUGGCACUGAGCACCUUCUUUUAAGAAUAUAAUUUGUAAUUAUGUAGAUUCUUAAUUCUACUUCAAAAUGCCACACAGCCUUCAUGUGAUAAAAUGAAACAAUUGCUCAACUGAUCUCCUGGGAUCUCUACUAAGAUGUUGGCAGCCCGGUCAGCUGGUCUGGCCCUGGACGUGCCUUCAGGGUCUGGUUAUGCUUCAUGACCUGCAUUGUGGUCAGUGGUAAGCAGCACCUGCUUCUAGCUUUACUGUUGGGUCAGAUUUUAUCCCCACUCCAGCUCUGCAGUGUGGCUGCUUCUUGAUUCAUCCAUGGACCCUGCACGAAAUUGCCCCAUGUUACUGUUUGUGCAUCACUGAGGAAGGAAGCAUGAAGGACGCACAGGUCAGGCCAUUCCAUUGCCCUCCUGGUGCUGGGUUUGCCCUCCCAAUCCUGGGGUUGCUUCAGGGGCUGGUCGUUCUCCAUAGCCCCCUCCACAUUUCUCAGGUUUCUGCUCAAAAGUCACCUUUCGGAGGGGUCUCCACCUGUCACUGUGUUUUUAAGAGCUCCUUCGGUUUCUUUCUAGCUCAUCUCACUCUGGUAAUGUCUUUGAUUACCACCACCAUCUGACCUGGUCUUAUGAUCUGUUAGCUUCCUUCAUCAGAUGUGAGCACCAGGAUGGCAGGGGCCUCAUCUGUCCUGUUCCUCCUGUGGCCUGGGUCCUAGCACCAUGUCUGGUACAGUGUAGAUGCUCAAGGGAAGUUUACUUUGUAGAACUGUUUAUCUGGGAGAUAUUACUGUUGGUCUAACCUGUACCAUAUUGUAAACCUCCAGCCAUUUUGCAGACUUUGAUCACAGUGAAACGUUCCAUGGGAACUUGGGCCAUGAGAAACAUCCUUCCUAACCACGUGACUGCAGAAACAUCCUUAUCACAUCCUCCUGGGCAAAGGCCCAACAGCCUGACUGCAGGGACAUCCUUGCCAUAUCCUGCUGGGCAGCAAGCUCUACCACCCAGAUCCCUCCCUCCCAGUCCCAUGAUUACCCCAGCCUGUGAGUGGCAGUUGGUUCUGGCACUAAGCUGGUUUCCUCCUCCCCAGGGUUUUGCUGGCAAUAAAGAUGUUG
rnacentral:lncRNA from 1 species